rnacentral:rRNA from 1 species
CACAGCUCUAUCACUAUUAACCCUAACAAUACCUAUAACUUUCUCCUAACCCACCCCCUAUACUGAGCAGAUCUAUUGAAAAUAGAAUAAUUAAUGCUAGAAUUAGUAACAAGAAACACAUUUCUCCGAAUGUAAGUGUAAAUCAGAUUGAAUAAAUCACCGAUACUUAACGACCCUUCCGAAGAGAUUAUAAUAACCCCUACAAGAAAAGCCUAUAAUAUUAACCGUUAACCUAACACAAGAACAUUUAAAGAAAGAUUAAAAGACAUUGAAGGAACUCGGCAAACUAGACCCUCGCCUGUUUACCAAAAACAUCGCCUCUUGCCCCACAAGUAUAAGAGGUCCAGCCUGCCCAGNGACUUCAUGNUCAACGGCCGCGGUAUU